GGCUGAGUGAAUCCGCUGGACUUGGAGUCCUGGAAGCCAUUUAACCCUUCAUCCAACCGUUCUCAGUUCUCGCAGGACCCCAGGCUGACCACCGGGACGCUAACGCGAGAACAAAUUCAAGAAUCCACUCCGCGCCAGGAGGAGAUUUUCAAGGCUUUUGGAAGGAGCUGGAAAGAUAAGAGGAGCAAGACGAAAAGUUAAGAGUCAUAGAAUCAGGGGACUGGAGAGCUCUCUAGGCCUCUCAGCCCCACCUCCUCCAUCCAAACGGCUCUGCACUUAGGCUACAUCCAAAUACAUGGGCAGCUCUCCAUUUAGAAAGACGCAGUGAAGUGUAGGCCACAGCGAGCUAAGUCAAUUUCGAGUUGCAAAAACAGAUCCCCAAAUAGCAGCUUUAAGUUUGUGAAAAUGAACUCCAGGCUAAGUGCUUAGCGAGAAAGACGCGACCAUGAAUCAACAGUGAUACAGCCCAGGGACCGUCGUCUCAGAUUACAAUGGAAGCACCUGCUCUGGGAACGGGGAGAUGGUGGCAAAGAGUCUCACCAGCCGCGGUGGAUACCAGGGAGAGGCUUGAAGAGGAGAAGGGGAAGAGAUGAG